rnacentral:rRNA from 1 species
GACGAACGCUGGCGGCGUGCUUAACACAUGCAAGUCGAACGGAAAGGCCCCUUUGGGGGUACUCGAGUGGCGAACGGGUGAGUAACACGUGAGUAACCUGCCCUUGACUUCGGGAUAACUUCAGGAAACUGGGGCUAAUACCGGAUAGGAAUCCUUGCUGCAUGGUGGGGGUUGGAAAGCUUCGGCGGUUUUGGAUGGACUCGCGGCUUAUCAGCUUGUUGGUGGGGUAGUGGCUUACCAAGGCUUUGACGGGUAGCCGGCCUGAGAGGGCGACCGGCCACAUUGGGACUGGGAUACGGCCCAGACUCCUACGGGAGGCAGCAGUGGGGAAUAGUGCACAAUGGGCGGAAGCCUGAUGCAGCAACGCCGCGUGCGGGAUGACGGCCUUCGGGUUGGAAACCGCUUUCAGCAGGGGCGAAGCUUGUGGUGACGGUACCUGCAGAAGAAGCACCGGCUAACUACGUG